ensembl:snRNA U6 U6 spliceosomal RNA
GUGCUCACUUUGGCAGCACAUAUAUUAAAAUUGGAACGAUACGGGGAAAAUUAGCAUGGCCUCUGGGCAAGGAUGACAUGCAAAUCUGUGAAGCGUUCUAUAGCUAA